UUCCUCCGUUUAUAUCAUUGAGGAGGAAAAUUUUCAGAAUUGCAGAAAACCACUUCGCAGCGCAAAGGUGAGGAGCCAUCGUCGCGGGAAACUGACACGGCAAAACCUGUAGAGGAACCUCACUCCCUUGAGAAGAUACCUGCCGCCGCCUCAACGCAGUUACAGCUGUAGAUCCGGAGCAGGAGCCAUCCACAACGGUGCCCUCAUUGCCAUCGCCAUCGAAAUCGAAGUCUCUACUGAUUUAUCUCAUGACGUAUCACAAAUCAAAAUGAAAUUGAAGGUAGUCUGGAGGAAAGUUUGUGAUUAUAUUCGCUAUGACUUAAAAGAAAUUGCUUUUCCUUCAUCAUUACCUGAUCCUCCUCAUAUAAAGAAGCGGCGGAAAUUGACUUGGCAAGAGCGUUAUUAUGUGUUGAAGGAGGCAUCUAGGCUUUAUGCUGCUAGCUGGGUACGGGAUAUUGGUCCUGAACUUCGGCCAAAUGACUAUAAGAAGGAUGAAGAGACUGAAGAUAAACCAGUGGGAGCAAGGAGUACAACUAAAGAAAAAGAACCUUCCACAUUGGAGGAUCUUGCGGUGGCUGCCAGAGGGGGAAUGGAAACACUGAGACCUGCUUUGCAGCGGGUAUAUAUGACAAGGGCUUCUGCUUAUAGGGAUGCUCUCAAAAGUUUCAUUGAAGGGUAUCAAGAAGGUAUACAACAAAUCAUGGAGAAGAAGGAAGAUUCGAAUUCUCCACAGGAAGACAAGACCCCUGCAAAACCAACAUGAUGUCUCUAAUAAGAGAUGUUCUGAGUCCAGAAAGUGAGCUACUGACACAGGUUGUACAUAUUCACUUAAAAGUGAAGGUUAAAGGAAAUUUACUGCAUGACCCGACUCCUUUAAGCGUCAUAGUGUACCGUUCAAGGUGGUGCUUAUAUACAAAAUGAUUUUUACAAGGAUGCUUAUGUCGGAGAGCACAAACAAGGAAGUUUUAGAAGGACAGAAAUGUACGCUUCAUGCAUAACCUUCUUUAUGCAUUGUGCAUUCCCUGAUGAUAUCUUCCCUGCACAUCGAUCAUAAGGGAUCUGAUUCAAAUCCAUAGUCUGUCCUCCCCUGUUCAGGAGGCUUCUAGCAUGUGUUGAACCCAAACCUGACUGCUCUUAGCACGUAUGCAACUCUGGUAACUCUGGUAAGGUUAUGGAAGGUAAAAAAAUACAUGUUUUCAGAGAAUUAGCUUUGAUUCAAAUAAUUUGUGUUUUUUGAUGUAUGGAGGAGACCCAUGAUAUUGUUGGAGAAGAUGCAUCAAAUUGAACAAUGUACUUGAUGUAGGCGUGUAGCUUAUUCUAUUUUAUGUUUUGUGUUGUUAUCAGUUUGGUAUGAUUUGAUAGAGA